rnacentral:rRNA from 1 species
ACUACGGGAGGCAGCAGUGGGGAAUAUUGCACAAUGGGGGAAACCCUGAUGCAGCGACGCCGCGUGAAGGAAGAAGUAUUUCGGUAUGUAAACUUCUAUCAGCAGGGAAGAAAAUGACGGUACCUGACUAAGAAGCCCCGGCUAACUACGUGCCAGCAGCCGCGGUAAUACGUAGGGGGCAAGCGUUAUCCGGAUUUACUGGGUGUAAAGGGAGCGUAGGCGGCGAUGCAAGUCAGAAGUGAAAGCCCGGGGCUCAACUCCGGGACUGCUUUUGAAACUGGCAAACUGGAGUGUGUGAGAGGAUGGUGGAAUUCCAGGUGUAGGAGUGAAAUCCGUAGAUAUCUGGAGGAACAUCAGUGGCGAAGGCGACUAUCUGGCACAUAACUGACGCUGAGGAGCGAAAGCGUGGGUAGCAAACAGGAUUAGAUACCCUGGUAGUC